GCCGAUGUAGCUUAGGUUAUAGCACGUGAUUUGUAAUCUCGGGGUCGAGGGUUCGAAUCCCUCCAUCGGCU
rnacentral:tRNA from 1 species